UACGAAGGGGGCGAGCGUUGUUCGGAAUUACUGGGCGUAAAGGGCGCGCAGGCGGCUCUGAAAGUCAGAUGUGAAAGCCCCGGGCUUAACCUGGGAACUGCAUUUGAUACGUGCGGACUUGAGUGCGGAAGAGGGUCGUGGAAUUCCCAGUGUAGAGGUGAAAUUCGUAGAUAUUGGGAAGAACACCGGUGGCGAAGGCGGCGACCUGGUCCGAUACUGACGCUGAGGCGCGAAAGCGUGGGGAGCAAACAGG
rnacentral:rRNA from 1 species